rnacentral:rRNA from 1 species
UGAUCCUGGCUCAGAACGUACGCUGGCGGCACGCCUAACACAUGCAAGUCGAACGAAGUAGCAAUACUUAGUGGCAGACGGGUGAGUAACAUGUAGGUAUCUGCCCUUUGGCCUGGAAUAACACGAGGAAACUUGUGCUAAUACCGGAUAAGUCUUUACGGAGAAAGCUUUAUGCACCAUUGGAUGAGCCUGCACUUGAUUAGUUUGUUGGUGGGGUAAUGGCCUACCAAGACUGUGAUCAAUAGCUGAUUUGAGAGGAUGAUCAGCCACAUUGGGACUGAGACACGGCCCAAACUCCUACGGGAGGCAGCAGUGGGGAAUCUUGCACAAUGGAGGAAACUCUGAUGCAGCGAUGCCGCGUGAGUGAAGAAGGCCCUUGGGUUGUAAAGCUCUUUCGUCGGGGAAGGAAAUGACUGUACCCGAAUAAGAAGGUCCGGCUAACUUCGUGCCAGCAGCCGCGGUAAUACGAAGGGACCUAGCGUAGUUCGGAAUUACUGGGCUUAAAGAGUUCGUAGGUGGUUGAAAAAGUUGGUGGUGAAAUCCCAGAGCUUAACUCUGGAACUGCCAUCAAAACUUUUCAGCUAGAGUAUGAUAGAGGAAAGCAGAAUUUCUAGUGUAGAGGUGAAAUUCGUAGAUAUUAGAAAGAAUACCAAUUGCGAAGGCAGCUUUCUGGAUCAUUACUGACACUGAGGAACGAAAGCAUGGGUAGCGAAGAGGAUUAGAUACCCUCGUAGUCCAUGCCGUAAACGAUGUGUGUUAGACGUUGGAAAUUUAUUUUCAGUGUCGCAGCGAAAGCGAUAAACACACCGCCUGGGGAGUACGACCGCAAGGUUAAAACUCAAAUGAAUUGACGGGGACCCGCACAAGUAGUGGAGCAUGUGGUUUAAUUCGAAGAUACGCGCAGAACCUUACCAACACUUGACAUGUCCGUCGCGACUCUAAGAGAUUAGAGUUUUCGGUUCGGCCGGACGAAACACAGGUGCUGCAUGGCUGUCGUCAGCUCGUGUCGUGAGAUGUUGGGUUAAGUCCCGCAACGAGCGCAACCCUCACUUUUAGUUGCCAUCAUUUAGUUGGGCACUCUGAAAGAACUGCCAGUGAUAAGCUGGAGGAAGGUGGGGAUGACGUCAAGUCCUCAUGGCCCUUACGUGUUGGGCUACACACGUGCUACAAUGGUAUCUACAACAGGAAGCAAGACUGCGAGGUCAAGCAAAUCCUUAAAAGAUACCUCAGUUCGGAUUGCACUCUGCAACUCGAGUGCAUGAAGCUGGAAUUACUAGUAAUCGUGGAUCAGCGUGCCACGGUGAAUGCGUUCCCGGGUCUUGUACACACCGCCCGUCACACCAUGGGAGUUGGUUCUACCUUAAGGCAAGGUUUUAAACCCUUGACCACGGUAUAGUCAGCGACUGGGGUGAAGUCGUAACAAGGUAACC